ACGGGAAGAGCCCAAACCAACAAGCUUGCUUGUUGGGGUUGUAGGACACUCUAUACGGAGUUACAAAGGACGACAUUAGACGAAUCAUCUGGAAAGAUGAAUCAAAGAAGGUAAUAAUCCUGUAGUCGAAAAUGUUGUCUCUCUUGAGUGGAUCCUGAGUACGACGGAGCACGUGAAAUUCCGUCGGAAUCUGGGAGGACCAUCUCCUAAGGCUAAAUACUCUCUAGUGACCGAUAGUGAACCAGUACCGUGAGGGAAAGGUGAAAAGCACCCCGGAAGGGGAGUGAAAUAGAACCUGAAACCGUGUGCUUACAAGUAGUCAGAGCCCGUUAAUGGGUGAUGGCGUGCCUUUUGUAGAAUGAACCGGCGAGUUACGAUUUGAUG
rnacentral:rRNA from 1 species